GACGAACGCUGGCGGCGUGCUUAACACAUGCAAGUCGAACGGAAAGGCCCUGCUUUUGUGGGGUGCUCGAGUGGCGAACGGGUGAGUAGCACGUGAGUAACCUGCCCUUGACUUUGGGAUAACUUCAGGAAACUGGGGCUAAUACCGGAUAGGAGCUCCUGCUGCAUGGUGGGGGUUGGAAAGUUUCGGCGGUUGGGGAUGGACUCGCGGCUUAUCAGCUUGUUGGUGGGGUAGUGGCUUACCAAGGCUUUGACGGGUAGCCGGCCUGAGAGGGUGACCGGCCACAUUGGGACUGAGAGACGGCCCAGACUCCUACGGGAGGCAGCAGUGGGGAAUAUUGCACAAUGGGCGGAAGCCUGAUGCAGCAACGCCGCGUGCGGGAUGACGGCCUUCGGGUUGUAAACCGAUUUCGCCUGUGACGAAGCGUGAGUGACGGUAAUGGGUAAAGAAGCACCGGCUAACUACGUG
rnacentral:rRNA from 1 species